rnacentral:rRNA from 1 species
GGUUAAGUGACUAAGCGUACACGGUGGAUGCCUUGGCAGUCAGAGGCGAUGAAAGACGUAGUAACUUGCGAUAAGCCCAGAUUAGGUAGUAACAACCAUUUGAGUCUGGGAUUUCUGAAUGGGGAAACCCACUUACAUAAGUAAGUAUCAUUAACUGAAUACAUAGGUUAAUGAGGCGAACCGGGGGAACUGAAACAUCUAAGUACCCCGAGGAAAAGAAAUCAACCGAGAUUCCGAAAGUAGCGGCGAGCGAAAUUGGACUAGCCCUUAAGCUUUACACGCGUUAGACGAACGGUCUGGAAAGUCCGACGAUACAGGGUGAUAGUCCCGUAGUUGACGACGUGUGUUCAGUGAAAUCGAGUAGGGCGGGACACGUGAUAUCCUGUCUGAAUAUGGGGGGACCAUCCUCCAAGGCUAAAUACUACUGACUGACCGAUAGUGAACCAGUACCGUGAGGGAAAGGCGAAAAGAACCCCUGUGAGGGGAGUGAAAUAGAACCUGAAACCGUGUACGUACAAGCAGUAGGAGCAGGCUUUGUCCUGUGACUGCGUACCUUUUGUAUAAUGGGUCAGCGACUUAUAUUCAGUGGCAAGGUUAACCAUCUAGGGGAGCCGUAGGGAAACCGAGUCUUAACUGGGCGUUCAGUCUCUGGAUAUAGACCCGAAACCAGGUGAUCUAGCCAUGGGCAGGUUGAAGGUUGAGUAACAUCAACUGGAGGACCGAACCGACUAAUGUUGAAAAAUUAGCGGAUGACUUGUGGCUAGGGGUGAAAGGCCAAUCAAACCUGGAGAUAGCUGGUUCUCCCCGAAAGCUAUUUAGGUAGCGCCUCGGACGAAUACUACUGGGGGUAGAGCACUGUUAAGGCUAGGGGGUCAUCCCGACUUACCAACCCUUUGCAAACUCCGAAUACCAGUAAGUACUAUCCGGGAGACACACGGCGGGUGCUAACGUCCGUCGUGGAGAGGGAAACAACCCAGACCGCCAGCUAAGGUCCCAAAUUACUACUAAGUGGGAAACGAUGUGGGAAGGCUCAGACAGCCAGGAUGUUGGCUUAGAAGCAGCCAUCAUUUAAAGAAAGCGUAAUAGCUCACUGGUCGAGUCGGCCUGCGCGGAAGAUGUAACGGGGCUAAGUAGUAAACCGAAGCUGCGGCAAUGUGCUUUUGCACAUUGGGUAGGGGAGCGUUCUGUAAGCGGUUGAAGGUGUGUGGUAACGCAUGCUGGACGUAUCAGAAGUGCGAAUGCUGACAUGAGUAACGAUAAAGGGGGUGAAAAACCUCCUCGCCGGAAGACCAAGGGUUCCUGUCCAACGUUAAUCGGGGCAGGGUAAGUCGACCCCUAAGGCGAGGCCGAAAGGCGUAGUCGAUGGGAAACGGGUUAAUAUUCCCGUACUUCUUACAAUUGCGAUGGGGGGACGGAGAAGGCUAGGUGGGCCUGGCGACGGUUGUCCAGGUUCAAGUGCGUAGGCUUAAGAGUUAGGUAAAUCCGGCUCUUUUUAAGGCUGAGACACGACGUCGAGCACCUACGGGUGUGAAGUCAUUGAUGCCAUGCUUCCAGGAAAAGCCUCUAAGCUUCAGAUUGUAAGGAAUCGUACCCCAAACCGACACAGGUGGUCGGGUAGAGAAUACCAAGGCGCUUGAGAGAACUCGGGUGAAGGAACUAGGCAAAAUGGUACCGUAACUUCGGGAGAAGGUACGCUCUUGAUGGUGAAGUCCCUCGCGGAUGGAGCUGACGAGAGUCGCAGAUACCAGGUGGCUGCAACUGUUUAUUAAAAACACAGCACUGUGCAAAAUCGUAAGAUGACGUAUACGGUGUGACGCCUGCCCGGUGCCGGAAGGUUAAUUGAUGGGGUUAGACUUCGGUCGAAGCUCUUGAUCGAAGCCCCGGUAAACGGCGGCCGUAACUAUAACGGUCCUAAGGUAGCGAAAUUCCUUGUCGGGUAAGUUCCGACCUGCACGAAUGGCGUAAUGAUGGCCACGCUGUCUCCACCCGAGACUCAGUGAAAUUGAAAUCGCUGUGAAGAUGCAGUGUACCCGCGGCUAGACGGAAAGACCCCGUGAACCUUUACUACAGCUUGGCACUGAACAUUGACCCUACAUGUGUAGGAUAGGUGGGAGGCUUUGAAGCAGGUACGCCAGUAUCUGUGGAGCCGUCCUUGAAAUACCACCCUUGUAGUGUUGAUGUUCUAACGUCGACCCCUUAUCGGGGUUGCGGACAGUGCCUGGUGGGUAGUUUGACUGGGGCGGUCUCCUCCCAAAGAGUAACGGAGGAGCACGAAGGUGGGCUAAUCACGGUUGGACAUCGUGAGGUUAGUGCAAUGGCAUAAGCCCGCUUGACUGCGAGAAUGACAAUUCGAGCAGGUGCGAAAGCAGGUCAUAGUGAUCCGGUGGUUCUGAAUGGAAGGGCCAUCGCUCAACGGAUAAAAGGUACUCCGGGGAUAACAGGCUGAUACCGCCCAAGAGUUCAUAUCGACGGCGGUGUUUGGCACCUCGAUGUCGGCUCAUCACAUCCUGGGGCUGAAGUCGGUCCCAAGGGUAUGGCUGUUCGCCAUUUAAAGUGGUACGCGAGCUGGGUUUAGAACGUCGUGAGACAGUUCGGUCCCUAUCUGCCGUGGGCGUUGGAAGAUUGAAGGGGGCUGCUCCUAGUACGAGAGGACCGGAGUGGACGAACCUCUGGUGUUCGGGUUGUGUCGCCAGACGCAUUGCCCGGUAGCUAAGUUCGGAAUCGAUAACCGCUGAAAGCAUCUAAGCGGGAAGCGAGCCCUGAGAUGAGUCUUCCCUGAUACUUUAAGUAUCCUAAAGGGUUGUCGGAGACUACGACGUUGAUAGGUCAGGUGUGUAAGUGCUGUGAGGCAUUGAGCUAACUGAUACUAAUUGCCCGUGAGGCUUAACCAU